AUGCCCAUGCCACCUGCUUAAAACCUGCUUUACUUCUGGUAAUUCACUAAAUAAUUCACUGUGCGCUACAAUUUGUCUAUAGUGUGAUGAGAUAAGGAAGUUGCCCUGUUCGGGAAUUUUUUUCAAAACAUCUGUCCACCUGAGCGAAAAUCAGUAUUAUCUUUCUUUUUUUUUUUUGAGGAAGAUCAGCCCUGAGCUAACAUCUGCCACCAAUCCUCCUCUUUUUGCCGAGGAAGCCUGGCCCUGACCUAACAUCCAUCCCCAUCUUCCGCUACUUUAUAUGUGGGACGCCUGCCACAGCAUGGCGUGCCAAGCGGUGCCAUGUCCGCACCCGGACCGAACCGGCGAACCCCGGGCCGCUCAAGCGGAACGUGUGAACUUAACCGCUGCUUCACUGCGCUGGCCCCGAAAAUCAGCAUUGUGUUUCUUGAACUGUGGUAUUCGAACAGCUCGAACUAUGAAGAAGUGCGAAUGAACCAAAGUGAGGAGUUCAGUUUGGGAAGCGAUGAGAAAACGGGAUAGGAUUGUCCUUUGUACUUUGGCAGAGGCAAAGGGACUGUGAGCUGGGCAAAGCUCUCAGAUGUAUCCAGAAGAUCGGUAUUUAAAAUGGAGUCACUUGCUGUUAAAGCAAAAAAAGAAAGAAAGAAGACAGAAAAUGGGAAAGGAACUUUUCAUUCACUGGUUUGGGGUUAACUGGGCUUUAGAUGCAAUCACUCUGCGUGAUCCGGAAUGGUCGUGCGAGCAUCACCAACAACUUUCAAUUUUCAGCUGAAUGGACAUCUCAUUAAGCUCCUGGAACUGGUCAAUAGAUGUGUUUUCUUUGACUAAUAUCUUCUAAUGCUUCAAGACAUCUAGUUUGGUCAAGUAUGGUACAAGGAAGACACAGAGGAGAGAGUUUUCAAAGUCCCCGUGGACAUCCUCUUCAUAAAUAGAGAGAAGCUAAAAGUAGCUUCUACUCAACUAAUUGAAUUUAACAAUCAUAAAACUAAUACACUGACUUAAC
rnacentral:lncRNA from 1 species